rnacentral:rRNA from 2 species
UAGGGAAUCUUCCGCAAUGGGCGAAAGCCUGACGGAGCAACGCCGCGUGAGUGAUGAAGGUCUUCGGAUCGUAAAACUCUGUUAUUAGGGAAGAACAAAUGUGUAAGUAACUAUGCACGUCUUGACGGUACCUAAUCAGAAAGCCACGGCUAACUACGUGCCAGCAGCCGCGGUAAUACGUAGGUGGCAAGCGUUAUCCGGAAUUAUUGGGCGUAAAGCGCGCGUAGGCGGUUUUUUAAGUCUGAUGUGAAAGCCCACGGCUCAACCGUGGAGGGUCAUUGGAAACUGGAAAACUUGAGUGCAGAAGAGGAAAGUGGAAUUCCAUGUGUAGCGGUGAAAUGCGCAGAGAUAUGGAGGAACACCAGUGGCGAAGGCGACUUUCUGGUCUGUAACUGACGCUGAUGUGCAAAAGCGUGGGGAUCAAACAGG